CACGUAGGGGGCAAGCGUUGUCCGGAUUUAUUGGGCGUAAAGAGCUCGUAGGUGGUUCGGUAAGUCGGGUGUUAAACCCCCAGGCUCGACCUGGGGACGCCACUCGAUACUGCUGUGACUAGAGUCCGGUAGGGGAGCGUGGAAUUCCUGGUGUAGCGGUGAAAUGCGCAGAUAUCAGGAGGAACACCAGCGGCGAAGGCGGCGCUCUGGGCCGGUACUGACACUGAGGAGCGAAAGCGUGGGUAGCAAACAGG
rnacentral:rRNA from 1 species